GAGAGAGAAAGAGAGAAAAAUAAGAGAGGGUUGGUAAAAGCGUCACGACAAUCCGGACAUCGGCAUUACGAACUAGUCGUCUACUAUUUACCCUCGUAGUUAAGGCUACCCCAUAAAGAUUCAGAUAGCCGAGGAAAAGGCACACCCUAUGGAUAUAAAGCAACGUUUUGUAGCCAGGCUUAAAAGGGCUCCGGUGGUUCAACGCUAACUGUGCUACGACAGAAGCGCAUUACGUACCAUGUUAAGGAACAUGAAAGAGUAAAACAAGGAAGAAAGAAAGAGAGAGAGAAAGAGAGAGAGAUAAUAAAAUAAAGACGAUGAAGGUAUAGGAAGGAUAAAAGGUAAACGAUCGAAUUUUUGACUGGUAUUCACAAGUCUCACGGCAACGGGUGAGCUUCGUAAAUCGCUUCAUUUCCUAGUCGAGGAUUAUAACGCCCUCGACCACCAAUAAUAAAAUAAAUCACAGCCUCGUAAAGGCAUCCGUCAUGCCGGUGAACUCUCUCCUCUUGUAUAUAUAUACAGGGUGUCUCGUUUAUCUCGAAAAAUUGGAAUAUAUCGUGAGGGAUUGAACUUUAGUGAAAAUAUUUCUUUACAAAUUUCUUUGAUAUAAAAACAGUACAUUUUACUGCGUUACAUGGAGUUCACUCAUCCACCGGACAUACGGCACAAAGAACAACACACAGUGAACUAAGCUUCGUUCAGCAACCUGCCUCGAAAAGUCCUUUAUUGGAGCAUAUCACCUGUUUGGCUGUCAUCAUUUCUCGAAAAGAUCAUCUGUAAUCUGCCAUGAUAAAGUUAUUGUGAAAAAAUCAUCACAUACAGUAACCAUACAAGUGAUUCAAGUAUUCUGCUAGUAUCGAAGAGCAUGACGAGGAUUAAACGUGCCCUGGCUUACAAUCAU